AAUAGAUACCCGGGUAGUCCACGCCGUAAACGAUGAGUGCUAAGUGUUAGAGGGUUUCCGCCCUUUAGUGCUGCAGCAAACGCAUUAAGCACUCCGCCUGGGGAGUACGGUCGCAAGACUGAAACUCAAAGGAAUUGACGGGGGCCCGCACAAGCGGUGGAGCAUGUGGUUUAAUUCGAAGCAACGCGAAGAACCUUACCAGGUCUUGACAUCCUCUGACAACCCUAGAGAUAGGGCUUCCCCUUCGGGGGCAGAGUGACAGGUGGUGCAUGGUUGUCGUCAGCUCGUGUCGUGAGAUGUUGGGUUAAGUCCCGCAACGAGCGCAACCCUUGAUCUUAGUUGCCAGCAUUCAGUUGGGCACUCUAAGGUGACUGCCGGUGACAAACCGGAGGAAGGUGGGGAUGACGUCAAAUCAUCAUGCCCCUUAUGACCUGGGCUACACACGUGCUACAAUGGGCAGAACAAAGGGCAGCGAAGCCGCGUGGCUAAGCCAAUCCCACAAAUCUGUUCUCAGUUCGGAUCGCUACG
rnacentral:rRNA from 1 species